rnacentral:rRNA from 1 species
ACGCUGGCGGCGUGCUUAACACAUGCAAGUCGAACGGUAACAGGAGAAAGCUUGCUUUCUUGCUGACGAGUGGCGCACGGGUGAGUAAUGUAUAGCUAACGUACCCUACAGAGGGGGAUAGCCACUGGAAACGGUGAUUAAUACCCCAUACUCCUUUCUAACAUAAGUUAGAUUGGGAAAUGGAUUUCCGCUGUAGGAUCGGGCUAUAUCGCAUCAGCUAGUUGGUGGGGUAACGGCCUACCAAGGCAAUGACGCGUAGCUGGUUUGAGAGGAUGAUCAGCCACACUGGUACUGAGACACGGACCAGACUCCUACGGGAGGCAGCAGUGAGGAAUAUUGCACAAUGGAGGAAACUCUGAUGCAGCAACGCCGCGUGGAGGAUGACGCAUUUCGGUGUGUAAACUCCUUUUAUCAGGGAAGAAGAUGACGGUACCUGAUGAAUAAGCUCCGGCUAACUCCGUGCCAGCAGCCGCGGUAAUACGGGGGGAGCAAGCGUUACUCGGAAUCACUGGGCGUAAAGGACGCGUAGGCGGUUUUAUAAGUCAGGUGUGAAAUCCUAUGGCUCAACCAUAGAACUGCACUUGAAACUGUAAGACUAGAGUAUGGAAGGGGCAGAUGGAAUUAGUGGUGUAGGGGUAAAAUCCGUAGAUAUCACUAGGAAUACCGAAAGCGAAGGCGAUCUGCUGGGACAUUACUGACGCUAAGGCGUGAAAGCGUGGGGAGCAAACAGGAUUAGAUACCCUGGUAGUCCACGCCCUAAACGAUGAACACUAGUCGUCGGGGUACUAGUUACUUUCGGUGAUGCACCUAACGGAUUAAGUGUCCCGCCUGGGGAGUACGGUCGCAAGAUUAAAACUCAAAGGAAUAGACGGGGACCCGCACAAGUGGUGGAGCAUGUGGUUUAAUUCGAAGAUACGCGAAGAACCUUACCUGGCCUUGACAUUGAAAGAAUCCGGUAGAGAUACUGGAGUGCCUCUUUGAGGAGCUUGAAAACAGGUGCUGCACGGCUGUCGUCAGCUCGUGUCGUGAGAUGUUGGGUUAAGUCCCGCAACGAGCGCAACCCUCGUCACUAGUUACUAACGGUUCGGCCGAGGACUCUAGUGAGACUGCCUUCGCAAGGAGGAGGAAGGUGAGGACGACGUCAAGUCAUCAUGGCCCUUACGGCCAGGGCAACACACGUGCUACAAUGGUUAGGACAAUGAGAGGCGAUACCGCGAGGUGGAGCAAAUCUAUAAACCUAAUCUCAGUUCGGAUUGUAGUCUGCAACUCGACUACAUGAAGCUGGAAUCACUAGUAAUCGUAGAUCAGCUAUGCUACGGUGAAUACGUUCCCGGGUCUUGUACUCACCGCCCGUCACACCAUGGGAGUUGAUUUCACCCGAAGCGGGGAAGCUAA